UACAGGGGGUGCAAACGUUGCUCGGAAUUACUGGGCGUAAAGCGCGCGUAGGCGGCUUUGUAAGUUAGAGGUGAAAGCCCGGGGCUCAACCCCGGAAUUGCCUUUAAGACUGCAUCGCUUGAAUCCGGGAGAGGUGAGUGGAAUUCCGAGUGUAGAGGUGAAAUUCGUAGAUAUUCGGAAGAACACCAGUGGCGAAGGCGGCUCACUGGACCGGCAUUGACGCUGAGGUGCGAAAGCGUGGGGAGCAAACAGG
rnacentral:rRNA from 1 species